GGAGGGUGCGAGCGUUAUCCGGAAUUACUGGGUUUAAAGGGUGCGUAGGCGGCUAUGUAAGUCAGGAGUGAAAGUUUGCGGCUCAACCGUAAAAUUGCUUUUGAUACUGCAUGGCUGGAAUCAGGAUGAGGUCAGCGGAAUGUGGCAUGUAGCGGUGAAAUGCAUAGAUAUGCCAUAGAACACCAAUUGCGAAGGCAGCUGGCUAGACCUGUAUUGACGCUGAGGCACGAAAGCGUGGGGAGCGAACAGNAUUAGAUACCCUGGUAGUCCACGCCCUAAACGAUGCUUACUCGACGUAUGAAGCUUGUCUUUGUGCGUCCAAGGGAAACCGUUAAGUAAGCCACCUGGGGAGUACGACCGCAAGGUUG
rnacentral:rRNA from 1 species